rnacentral:rRNA from 1 species
AGCGAGACUGCCUGGGUUAACCAGGAGGAAGGUGGGGAUGACGUCAAAUCAUCAUGCCCCUUAUGUGUAGGGCUACACACGUGCUACAAUGGCUGGUACAGAGAGAUGCAAUACCGCGAGGUGGAGCCAAACUUAAAAACCAGUCUCAGUUCGGAUUGUAGGCUGAAACUCGCCUACAUGAAGCUGGAGUUACUAGUAAUCGCGAAUCAGAAUGUCGCGGUGAAUACGUUCCCGGGUCUUGUACACACCGCCCGUCACACCAUGAGAGUUGGCAAUACCCGAAGUCCGUGAGCUAACCGCAAGGAGGCAGCGGCCGAAGGUAGGGUCAGCGAUUGGGGUGAAGUCGUAACAAGGUAGCCGUAGGAGAACCUGCGGCUGGAUCACCUCCUUUCUAAGGAA